CACUUCCGGCCCCAGCGCUGCGGCGGUCGGUGUGGCAGCGCCGUUUGGGCCCGUUCCGCACCGCGCCCGCCCCUCCGCCCGCAUGCAGCGCCGCGACGACCCCUCCGCCCGCAUGGGCCGGGGUCCGGGGGGGCCCGGAGGCGCCCGCCAAGGGGGGCCCAAUCAGCGGCGGUCGCCCCGAGGCGGGGGGGGCCGUGGGUCCGGGGCCCAGCAGCCGCAGCCGCUACUGACCGGCGGAGCGGCCGCCGGCUCCUCGGGCGCGCAGGGCCCCGCCGCCGCCUCCCCUGCCCCGCUGCUGCCCGGGGGCGCCGGCAAGAUGGAGCCCGAGAACAAAUACCUGCCCGAGCUGAUGGCUGAGAAGGACAGCCUGGACCCGUCCUUCACGCACGCCAUGCAGCUCCUCAGCGCAGAAAUUGAAAAAAUUCAGAAGGGUGAAACAACAAAGAAGGAUGAGGAAGAGAACUACCUGGAUUUAUUUUCUCACAAGAAUAUGAAACUGAAAGAACGAGUUCUGAUCCCUGUCAAACAGUACCCCAAGUUCAACUUUGUUGGAAAGAUUUUGGGACCUCAAGGUAACACCAUCAAGAGGCUUCAGGAAGAAACUGGUGCUAAGAUCUCUGUGCUUGGGAAGGGUUCAAUGCGAGAUAAGGCAAAGGAGGAAGAGCUGCGUAAAGGGGGAGAUCCUAAAUAUGCUCAUCUAAAUAUGGAUUUGCAUGUCUUCAUUGAAGUGUUUGGACCCCCUUGUGAAGCAUAUGCUCUGAUGGCUCAUGCCAUGGAAGAAGUCAAGAAGUUCCUUGUCCCAGAUAUGAUGGAUGAUAUCUGUCAGGAGCAAUUCUUGGAGCUCUCCUAUCUGAACGGUGUACCAGAGCCAACUCGUGGCCGAGGAGGCCCUGUGCGGGGAAGGGGAGCAGCUCCACCACCGCCUCCACCUGUUCCAAGGUACCUUUCCCAAAAGCAUGGACCUGGAAAUGCUGCAUCUUGCUCAGAGUGGUGCUGCGAGAUCAGGGGGCGCGGUGUUGGGCCUCCCCCUCCGCCGCCUCCUCCCCGGGGGGCCCUGGUGCGAGGAGCCCCCGUGCGGGGUGCCAUUGCCAGGGGAGCAGCUGUAGCCCGUGGAGUUCCGCCCCCCCCAGCAGUCCGGGGAGCUCCUGCCCCCAGAGCGCGUGCGGCCGGCAUCCAGCGGAUACCGCUUCCUCCUCCUCCAGCACCAGAAACCUACGAGGAAUACGGUUACGAUGAUGCAUAUGCAGACCAGAGCUAUGAGGGCUAUGAAGGCUACUACAGCCAGGGCCAAGGGGACACAGAAUACUAUGAUUAUGGACACGGGGAGGCACAGGAAACCUAUGAAGCUUAUGGCCAAGAUGACUGGAACGGCACCAGGCCCUCCCUGAAGGCCCCCCCAGCCCGGCCGGUGAAGGGCGCCUACAGGGAGCACCCAUACGGACGUUACUAAAAACAAAAUGAGGGAAAAAUAGCAGUUAUGAGCAAACAGUUGUUACUGAUUCUUGUAUCUCCCAGGAUUCCUGUUGCUUUGCCCACACCAGACAAGAGCGCGGAGCGGCGGACGAGGGCUGAAGGCGAGGAGGGGCAGCGCUCUGGGUGAGUCUGUCUGCUUAUUUUUGCAACUUGCAGCAAGCUGUGAACACGUUUGUGUGGGCAGAGAGGGCGGCACCAUCUGAGCUGUUAAAUUGGAGCCGUUCUUCACAUACCCACAAAUAAAUCGGUGCUGCCGAAGGCCGGCUCCAGCAGUGAGGCUCCUGCAGAGGUCGUGGUGCGGAGGAGGCUUUGCUGGGUGCAUGCUUACAGCUCUCCCAGCGAGAUCCUGUGGAGAAGGAGGCUUAGUGGGUUUGAGGAGAGGGGAUUGGGAUAUGAUCUGUUUCCUGGGGCUGCUGCCUGGCUGAGAUGCUGGCUUUCAUGUGAGUGCCUGCAGCUGCAGGGUAGCACUGAAGUUGUUGUUACCCCGUGCUCUAGGAUCAGAGCGGUCCAAGCAGGAAUCUGUAGAGAUGCAAUGGCAUCAUAGAAGCACGGGACGGUUGGGUUGGAAGGGACCUUACAGCCCACACAGUCCCAACCCCUGCUGUGGACUGGCUGCCCCCAGCUCAGGCUGCUCAGGGCUCCUCCAGGGAUGGGGCACCCGCAGCUCUGGGCAGAACCACUGGGUCUCGCUGCCCUCUGGGGAGAGAAUUUCAUCCUCACAUCUCACCGAAAUCUCCCCUCCUUAAAGCCUUUCCCUCUUGUCGUGUUGCUGUCAGACCAUAUAAACAGUCGCUCUCUCCCCACGCUUUAUAAGCUCCCGGGUGCCGUGCGCUGUCGCGCUGCUCAGCCGCCGUUCCUGGGUUGGGACGAGCGCAGCUCGGAGCUCUGGGAUGGAGGAGCCCCGCUCCGUGGUGCUGCUCGGCAGCGGCGGUGGUGGGGCUCCCUCUGGUGGCUGCAGCGGCCGCAGUGAAAUAUUCGCUCUGCAGCCGCCUUCACGGCGCGGCACGUGCUUGCAGACCGUGCGGGCUGUGCCUGGGGACGCUGAGCUCCGGCGUCACGCGGCGCUGACCUGGGCGCGCAGCAAGGACGCGUCUCCCCUGCGGCCCCGAAGGCAGCAGCCCUGAGCGCGGCCUCUGGGGGCGGCUAAUUGGCUUCUCUCGUAUCUUGAGAUCGCUGGAAGCCUGAGCUCCAGAAAUCAGAGAACAAAGAAAUAAUCCUUUGUGCUGCUGGAGGAGUGUAACGGCUUCAAAAGACUGCUGCGCAAAGCCCCGGGAGCGGGACGUGGAAGGACAUGAGACUUAUUUUAUAUGGAAAUGCAGAGCUACCCAACGAGCUUCUCUUAAGAGCGUUAGGAACGAGAAGAUGGUUAUAUGUGGAAAUGGUGCAGCACAAUGAGAUUACCCUCAAUUCUUUGCCUUUAACUUGAAAAUUGGAGCCGUAAUUCUGUUAGGGAAAGACGUCGCAUCUGGAAUUCGGGGGGCUGUUUGUGUAAUGCAUCUCCAUUACAACGUAACUGAAACAUCAGUUCAUGCGCUGGUGUUCCAGUCUUUGCCAUUUCUUUCUUAAUAGGCACAACUUUUAUAUCAAGUGGAAAAGAUUUGAUAGAGAUCAUCUAUUAUGAUGCAGUUUCUUACCAGUAGGAUCUUGUGGCACCGCCUUUGGAGUUGUACAGCUUGCUUGUGCAUCACAUUUAUUGCAUGUUUAUGUGAAAAUGUUGAAUGUUAUGGGGGAAUGUAAAUCUUAAUAUAUUGAAAAUAACUGCAUACGCUAAAAAUAUUUCAAAAACAUGUUGUGCAUCAGAUAGCUUCCUCCCUCUCAAAGCAUCGCUCCACGCAGAUUGUAGCCGAGAGUCUGCAGAAGCUAAUUGGAGAUCCCAGAAUAGCCGUCAGCGUCGGAUGUGUCUCUGAGAUGCUGUAAUGAGCCACGGUCCGGGGUGAUGCAGGGCUCACAGAAAUAUGUGAGGGUGGAGAUUCCUCGGAGUGCUGGAAGCCAGGUCACCCAAUAACCUCCCCUUUUCUGCUCACAGCCGCUGGAGAUGGCACUGGUUCUGCUGUCUGUUAGCAAACAAGUGCAGAUGACAUUUCACCUCUGGACUUGCCCGUAGAACUAAUCCACAUCUCAUUGUUUGUGGGAUGGUGGCCAAGUCCAUACACAAGAUAAAAACCCCCACAGCGUGGUGUCCAGCAGCAGUCACAUCUCCCUGUGGAAGUGUUUCCCAGCAGUGCUGUUUGUAGGUUUGGCUUUAGGACACCCUCUGCUACAGAGCACUCCCUGCUCAGCAGUCCAUCUUCUCUGGCUCCUGCUCUGGGGGGCUGCUGCUGCUGCUUCAGCCUCUGGUCCAGCAUUUGGUACUCAGGCUGCCUUGCUUGGAGCCGUUACACAGCUGGACUCUGUCCUCUUUCAGUGGGAAGUCACCACGUGUUGUGGUUCCCAGCAUCGAGCAGCAGCUGAGCUCCAGCUGGGACUGCAGAGAUGUCCCGAGCAGUUCUUCCUGGAAGGAGACUGUUGUACUGCAUGUAUUCCUUACCCCUGGUUUCAAGUUGCUGUUUAGAUUAUUAGAUAAAGCAAAUGACUGUGAGCUUGAUUUCAUAAUUUAUUGAUGGUAAUUUUUAUGUAGCAUGGCCCUCUGUAAAACUCCAUCUUUGGCAAGUUGGAUCCAGCUGAGGUUUAGGAGCACAGCUGCAUUCCUUGCUUGGCUCUUAGAGCAGAUGAUUUCUCUUGUACAGAAUGAGCUUUCAAAUUUGUAUGAGAGCAUCUGUCAUGGACAGAGCCAAGAAAAGCAAUUGAGAUGUGCACCUCUUCCUUCCUGCCCCACACCGCUGCUCCUGAAGGGCCCAUGUGGGCAGGGGGCAGCUGGCACAGACCCGGGGGGGAGCAGCAGCUGUGCCUGCCUGCAGGGAGCUGAGCAGAGCAGGAGGUGCCGUUAGCACAGCCCUGCCGUGAGGGCUGUGAGUGCAGAUGGUGCUUUUGGGGAGUGUGGCACAGCUUAGGGGAAAUCCUGCCUUAACUGAGAAACCUGCAGCCUCCCGGGCGAGAUGUUGGACACCAGCCCUGUUGGUGAGCUUUGAGGGGGAGGAAUUUCUGCAGCCGGUCGGUGCCUGUGGGGAACUGCCAUCUCCAAUGUAGAUCUUAUUCCUCUUCUCAGGAAGCUCAGAUCCCGAGAGCACAGAGCAGAACCCUUUGCUGUCGUUGCUCAGCUGAGCCAUAUGUUCCAAUAGAAAUGUUUGUUUCCACGCUCACUUUGCUCCUUUUGAGAUGUGGGACAGAGAUGGGAUGCGUUGCUUUCAGAUGACGAAGGAAUGCAGUCCGGGAGCCCUUUGCUUUACUGCAAGGUGGAAGCAGCCGGCUCUGCUGAACGCUGGAGCUCCUUCAGCCACCUCCAGAGCUGGAGAGAGGCAGCAUCGAAGCACGGCCUUCCCCAUGGAGCUGUUACUGCUGCCUCUGGAACCGAGCACGAGCGAAAGCCUGCAGCGUUCCGCCCUGCCCUGCUGCUGUGGAGCACCGGUGCUGCUGCCGGGCUGGAGGACGUGGUUCUGCUGCUGCUGCCAGGAUGCUGCUGGGCUUCGGUGGCUGCACAGGUUCCAAAACCAAUAAGGAAGAGAAGAUUGGUCUGUGAAAGGCCGUUAAUUUUGGAAGUGGCUUUGCCUGCAGCCUGGGCAGGGUUGUGCACUGCUCCAUCUGAACCACAGCCUGAGCCGCCCCGAGUUGGGGAACUCUGCAAAGCGCUGCAGUGGCUCCAUCCAGCGCUGAUGGAGGUUAAUGUUGGCCGAGGUGAAUCGUGGCGUUAAGCUGGUUGUAUGGAGAGCUGGCACGGUGCGACACAGCUGGCGUUCAGCCGAUGCUGGAAAUGAUUUGUCAUUCUUAAUAAAGAUUGAAC